rnacentral:snRNA from 3 species
GCUCGCUUAGGCAGAGCAUAUACUGAAACUGAAAUGAUACGGAGAUUAGCACGGCUCCUGCACAAAGAUGACACAAAUCCGUGAGGCAUUCCAUAUUUUU